rnacentral:rRNA from 1 species
AAGGAAUAUUGGACAAUGGAGGCAACUCUGAUCCAGCCAUGCCGCGUGAGUGAAGAAGGCCUUAGGGUUGUAAAGCUCUUUCAACGGUGAAGAUAAUGACGGUAGCCGUAGAAGAAGCCCCGGCUAAAUUCGUGCCAGCAGCCGCGGUAAUACGAAUGGGGCAAGCGUUGUUCGGAAUCACUGGGCUUAAAGCGUGCGUAGGCGGUCUAGCAAGUCAGAAGUGAAAGCCUGGGGCUCAACCCCAGAACUGCUUUUGAAACUGCAAGACUAGAAUACCGGAGAGGUCGGGAGAAUUCCUAGUGUAGAGGUGAAAUUCGCAGAUAUUAGGAGGAAUACCAGUGGCGUAGGCGCCCGACUGGACGGUUAUUGACGCUCAGGCACGAAAGCGUGGGUAGCAAAC